rnacentral:rRNA from 1 species
UACAGAGGGGGCAAGCGUUAUUCGGAAUUAUUGGGCGUAAAGAGCGUGUAGGCGGCCCGGUAAGUCCGCUGUAAAAGUCAAAGGCUCAACCUUUGAAUGUCAGUGGAUACUGCCGGGCUAGAGUCCGGAAGAGGCGAGUGGAACUCCUGGUGUAGCGGUGGAAUGCGCAGAUAUCAGGAAGAACACCAACGGCGAAGGCAGCUCGCUGGGACGGUACUGACGCUGAGACGCGAAAGCGUGGGGAGCGAACAGG